UCUCUCCUAAGUGAUGACAAUUUUGGGUUUGCUGUGAAAAUAAACAGGAUCAAUUCGGAAAGGUUCCUCUGUUUUGGGGAAUUACCGCCGAUGGAUACGUCGCCUUUGCUGACGAUGCCGACUUGCUCAAAGGUGCUUGUGGAAAGUCUCUUGCAUCUUUCCCUCAGGGAUGCUUCUUCUUCACCGCAGACGGUGGUCUGAGAAGCUACGAGCACCCUAAGAAUACAAUUACUGCCAUACCCGCCACUGACGAAGAGAUUUGGGGAACCAAGUUCAUGGUAGGAUAUAAAUUAUUAAUUUGUAGAUUUGGGAUGAUCUUCUUGUCCUUUUUUUCAUCCUCUGCUUUGUGUAUAUAUGUAUACAUCUCAGGUUGACGGAAUAAGGCUUUCUUUUUCUCUUUUUUUAAAUCCUCUUUUUGAUCAGCGGUUCAGGUCCGGCAAUAAGGUUUUAUUUUUUGUUUUUUAAAUCCUCUCUUCUUCUUCUCUAGCUCUUCUUUUUCUUCAGGUCAGCGGGACAGUAGCAGCUAUGAGCCGUGUUCUUUUUUUAGGAAGCUUGAAGAUUUUGGAGCCCGAGGCUUAAGAAGAAUCACAAUAGGGUAGGGAAGAGAGGAGUCCCGCCGCCGCCUCUGCUCCAUAUCCGCCACCGACAGAUCCGGCCUCAUCAAUCCAAAUACCGGCGAUGGAGAUCCGGCGGAGAAGAUAAUCGAAGGUUGCGUUUUUUCUCCUUUUUUUCCUUCAAUCUGUUCGGAAUCUGCAGUCUGUGGUGGUCUUGGUUGGAAAUCCGGCAAAUUAUGGCUGAAAUCUGUGGUUCUCUGUAUUUUGAAAGCUUCACUGUAAUGUAAAAAUAUGAGUUUUUCAAUAGCAAGGGUAUAAUGGUCAUUUUAAGUCGACACUUAA